rnacentral:piRNA from 1 species
UAAGAAUUUUAGCUGUUUCCCUCACC